UUUACACUAAAGAUCCAGGCAAGACAAGAUUAAACUUGUAAUUACUUGCAAAAGAAUUGCCUACAACAUUCUAAAAUCUGCCAGUUUAAUGUGACAGAGUAACACAGUAAGCUAUGUAUCGUUUCUUUUGCAAUGACUAUUAUUUUUCCAGUCAAAGACCAGUGCUCAAGCGCUGACUAGAAUCCAGUGGUGGCUAUAUCCAGCGCUGACAAGAAUCAGUAUUCACAUGCACAAAAAUGUGAAUUUGACAACAAUCCACUGGGCUAGAAUCUAGCACCGACUAGAAUCACGCAGCAGGGAAUGGAAAGUUGACAAGCCAUUAAAAAAGCAAUUGGCACGGAGACAGGAUAAAACCCCAGGAGAAGCAGGAGUGUGUGAGAGAGAGAGGGACUGUUGACUGAGAACGCUGGAUUGCUGAGACACCUGUUGCUGGAGUGAAGCCCUUAAACGUGGAGAUUAUUUUGGUUGUUGUGCAUUUGCACGGACUUUUUGUUGGUGAUUUAUUAUCUGAAAUAAAGCUCAGUCAGCAGUCAAA